CUGCAGUGAGCUGUGAUUGUGCCACUGCACUCCAGCCUGAGUGACAGAGCAAGACGAAAGAAAGAAAGAAGGAAGGAAGGAAGGAAGGAAGGAGAAGGGAAGCGAAGGGAAGAAAGAAAGAAAGGAAGGGAAGGGAAGAAAGAAAGAAAGAAAAAAGAAAGAAAGAAAGAAAAGAAAGAAAAAGAGAAACAGUGGAGACAGAGGGGAGAGGGGAGGUUUAUUUAUAAGAUGUUAAGAACAUGGUGAUUGGUGGGCUGGGCUGGGCAGAAGCAAGAGUGACAUUUGAGCUUCUGGCUUGGGGAACAGGGUAAAAGGUGGUGUCAUUCAUCAAGAUUGGGAACCUAGGAGGAGCAGGUUUGGGGGAAGAUAUAGAGUUCAGUUUUGGCCUCGUUGAGCUUGCUGUAUGUGGCAGCGUGCAAGUGGAGCUGCUUGACAGAAGCCAAGGAGAAACAUGAAAACUCAAAUGUGCCCUGAACCAGUCUCAACCCUGAAGUUAAGGAAUGCAAAAGGUGAGGAGUCACCAUGGUAACCGCAGUGGCAGGUGUGUUGGUGAAUCCUUUGUUUCUGCAGCAUCGGCAGGCAAGGCCUGCCCAGUGCCUGUCUGAGGGUUUGUGCUAUCUGGCUACAGGGCAGCUGCAUUUCAUUCAUUUCUCUUAAUGGGACAUUAUGGGAGACUUUUGCUUUUCAUUGCCUCCAUUUUCUUAUAAGUGGAAGGGGAGGGGAAAAAACCAUUUUGCUUCCCUUCCCACCCACUCAGAGAAAUGCCCGAAAAACACCAGCAUUCCCAUCAGAGGCUCUGCUGCCGCUGGUCAUGAAACCCCAUCAUCACUUAAAUUGCUCUAUUUUAAAGGUUUGUGAAAACUGCACCAAAUUGAUUUUUCUCAUAUCACUUCUAUCUGUUAUUUCUGUGGUCUCUCUUCUUCUUCAUUGCUACAUUUCCCCGGAGCAGGGGAGCAAAUCUAUAUGGAAACUCGAGGUACUCUUAUGUGGUUUGGGAACCAAAAAAUAAAAGUGUUUUAGAGGCUAUC
rnacentral:lncRNA from 1 species